GUAUAGCUCAGUGGUAGAGUGCUUGCCUAGCAUGCAUGAGGCCUUGAGUUUUAUCCCCAAUAC
rnacentral:tRNA from 1 species